rnacentral:rRNA from 1 species
GAUCAUUGGCUCAGGAUGAACGCUAGCUACAGGCUUAACACAUGCAAGUCGAGGGGCAGCGGGAUUGAAGCUUGCUUCAAUUGCCGGCGACCGGCGCACGGGUGAGUAACGCGUAUCCAACCUUCCGUACACUCAGGGAUAGCCUUUCGAAAGAAAGAUUAAUACCUGAUGGUAUGAUGAGAUUGCAUGAUAUCAUCAUUAAAGAUUUAUCGGUGUACGAUGGGGA